rnacentral:rRNA from 1 species
AUUGAACGCUGGUGGCAGGCCUAACACAUGCAAGUCGAGCGGAUGAAGGGAGCUUGCUCCUGGAUGCAGCUGCGGACGGGUGAGUAAUUCCUAGGAAUCUGCCUUGUAGUGGGGGAUAACGUCCGUAAACGGGCGCUAAUACCGCAUACGUCCUGAGGUAGAAAGUGGGGGAUCUUCGGACCUCACGCUAUCUGAUGAGCCUAGUUCGGAUUAGCUAGUUGGUUGGGUAAAGGCCUACCAAGGCGACGAUCCGUAACUGGUCUGAGAGGAUGAUCAGUCACACUGGAACUGAGACACGGUCCAGACUCCUACGGGAGGCAGCAGUGGGGAAUAUUGGACAAUGGGCGAAAGCCUGAUCCAGCCAUGCCGCGUGUGUGAAGAAGGUCUUCGGAUUGUAAAGCACUUUAAGUUGGGAGGAAGGGCAGUAAGUUAAUACCUUGCUGUUUUGACGUUACCAAAAGAAUAAGCACCGGCUAACUUCGUG